CCCUGGCUCAGGACGAACGCUGGCGGCGUGCCUAAUACAUGCAAGUCGAGCGAAUCUUGAGGUGCUUGCACCUCUUGGUUAGCGGCGGACGGGUGAGUAACACGUGGGCAACCUGCCUGUAAGACUGGGAUAACACCGGGAAACCGGUGCUAAUACCGGAUAAUCCUUUUCCUCUCAUGAGGAAAAGCUGAAAGUCGGUUUACGCUGACACUUACAGAUGGGCCCGCGGCGCAUUAGCUAGUUGGUGAGGUAACGGCUCACCAAGGCGACGAUGCGUAGCCGACCUGAGAGGGUGAUCGGCCACACUGGGACUGAGACACGGCCCAGACUCCUACGGGAGGCAGCAGUAGGGAAUCUUCCGCAAUGGACGAAAGUCUGACGGAGCAACGCCGCGUGAGCGAUGAAGGCCUUCGGGUCGUAAAGCUCUGUUGUUAGGGAAGAACAAGUACCGGAGUAACUGCCGGUACCUUGACGGUACCUAACCAGAAAGCCACGGCUA
rnacentral:rRNA from 1 species